AGAGUUUGAUCCUGGCUCAGAACGAACGCUGGCGGCAGGCCUAACACAUGCAAGUCGAACGAUAAGCCACCUUCGGGUGGUGGACAGUGGCAGACGGGUGAGUAACGCGUGGGAACGUGCCUUUCGGUUCGGAAUAACCCAGGGAAACUUGGGCUAAUACCGGAUACGCCCUUCGGGGGAAAGAUUCAUUGCCGAAAGAUCGGCCCGCGUCGGAUUAGCUAGUUGGUGGGGUAAUGGCUCACCAAGGCGACGAUCCGUAGCUGGUCUGAGAGGAUGACCAGCCACACUGGGACUGAGACACGGCCCAGACUCCUACGGGAGGCAGCAGUGGGGAAUAUUGGACAAUGGGCGCAAGCCUGAUCCAGCCAUGCCGCGUGGGUGAAGAAGGCCUUAGGGUUGUAAACCCCUUUCAGCGGGGAAGAUAAUGACGGUACCCGCAGAAGAA
rnacentral:rRNA from 1 species